AUUAUUACCUCCACCGACAGUGCGCCCUGCCGGGGUCACUCUUGGAUACUCUAAAACUGUACGGACAUCGUGGGGCCUUGCCGGCGGCAGGUCAUUCAAAUUUCUGCCCCUAUCCUUUUCGAUGGUAAGUGACCUGCUUACCAUGGUUUCACGGGUGAACGAGAAAUCAGGGUUCGAUCCCGGAAAGGAGCCUGAAAAAACGCUACCCACUCUAAAGGUGGGCACCGGACCCCCAAUUACCCAAACCCGAUUCCGGGAAGGAAUGACCAAAAAAAACUCUGCGUGCCCGCGUAUAUGCACGGCGGUUGGAAUGAGAAUGAUUUAAAAACCUUAUCGAAAGCUACUGGAGGGCAAGCCUGGUGCCAGCAGCCGCGGUAAUACCAGCUCCAAUAGCGUAUAUUAACGUUGUUGCAGUUAAAAAGCUCGUAGUUGGAUUUCUGACCUCGAGUGCUGCUUGCGCCGCGUAGUCUUCGGACACGUGCGACAACGCAGCACCGGUCAUCCUCCGGGCGCCCGCCAUUGCUCUUCACUGGCUGGAUGGCACGCGCUCCCGGUCGGUCACUCUGAAAAAUUAGA
rnacentral:rRNA from 1 species